rnacentral:rRNA from 1 species
UGAGUAACACGUGGGGUAACCUGCCCAAGAGACUGGGAUAACACCUGGAAACAGAUGCUAAUACCGCAUAACAACAAAAGCCACAUGGCUUUUGUUUGAAAGAUGGCUUUGGCUAUCACUCUGGGAUGGACCUGCGGUGCAUUAGCUAGUUGGUAAGGUAACGGCUUACCAAGGCGAUGAUGCAUAGCCGAGUUGAGAGACUGAUCGGCCACAAUGGAACUGAGACACGGUCCAUACUCCUACGGGAGGCAGCAGUAGGGAAUCUUCCACAAUGGGCGCAAGCCUGAUGGAGCAACACCGCGUGAGUGAAGAAGGGUUUCGGCUCGUAAAGCUCUGUUGUUGGAGAAGAACGUGCGUGAGAGUAACUGUUCACGCAGUGACGGUAUCCAACCAGAAAGUCACGGCUAACUACGUGCCAGCAGCCGCGGUAAUACGUAGGUGGCAAGCGUUAUCCGGAUUUAUUGGGCGUAAAGCGAGCGCAGGCGGUUGCUUAGGUCUGAUGUGAAAGCCUUCGGCUUAACCGAAGAAGUGCAUCGGAAACCGGGCGACUUGAGUGCAGAAGAGGACAGUGGAACUCCAUGUGUAGCGGUGGAAUGCGUAGAUAUAUGGAAGAACACCAGUGGCGAAGGCGGCUGUCUGGUCUGCAACUGACGCUGAGGCUCGAAAGCAUGGGUAGCGAACAGGAUUAGAUACCCUGGUAGUCCAUGCCGUAAACGAUGAGUGCUAGGUGUUGGAGGGUUUCCGCCCUUCAGUGCCGGAGCUAACGCAUUAAGCACUCCGCCUGGGGAGUACGACCGCAAGGUUGAAACUCAAAGGAAUUGACGGGGGCCCGCACAAGCGGUGGAGCAUGUGGUUUAAUUCGAAGCUACGCGAAGAACCUUACCAGGUCUUGACAUCUUGCGCUAACCUUAGAGAUAAGGCGUUCCCUUCGGGGACGCAAUGACAGGUGGUGCAUGGUCGUCGUCAGCUCGUGUCGUGAGAUGUUGGGUUAAGUCCCGCAACGAGCGCAACCCUUGUUACUAGUUGCCAGCAUUAAGUUGGGCACUCUAGUGAGACUGCCGGUGACAAACCGGAGGAAGGUGGGGACGACGUCAGAUCAUCAUGCCCCUUAUGACCUGGGCUACACACGUGCUACAAUGGACGGUACAACGAGUCGCAAGCUCGCGAGAGUAAGCUAAUCUCUUAAAGCCGUUCUCAGUUCGGACUGUAGGCUGCAACUCGCCUACACGAAGUCGGAAUCGCUAGUAAUCGCGGAUCAGCAUGCCGCGGUGAAUACGUUCCCGGGCCUUGUACACACCGCCCGUCA